AUCCUUCUGGGUUUAAUACAUAUGAUGAUUGGUCUGUUCACGUGGUUUCGUGAAAUGUGCUGCCUUCCAUUCUUGUUACGAUUUGCACAUUGACCGUCUGAUC